CUCAAUGGCAGGGAAAACUUCUCCGAACUGGAAAUGCAAGUUUGUCUUUGCAAGUAGAAGGUAGAGUGAGUCCCACAGCCUAUCUCCAGCCAAGGCUUGGGGCCUUCCUGUUCAG
rnacentral:lncRNA from 1 species